GCUUGUCUCAAAGAUUAAGCCAUGCAUGUGUAAGUAUCAGAAGUCUGAACUUCAAAACUGCGAAUGGCUCAUUAUAUCAGUUAUAGUUUAUUUGAUAGUACCUUACUACUUGGAUAACCGUAGUAAUUCUAGAGCUAAUACAUGCAAAAAGCCUGGACUUCUGGAACAGGCGUAUUUAUUAGAUAUACAAACCAACCGCUUCGGCGACCUUGGGUGACUCAUAAUAACUUCGCGAAUCGUAUGCUUCGGCGACGAUGAUUCAUUCAAAUUUCUGCCCUAUCAGCUUUUGAUGGUAGGGUAUUGGCC
rnacentral:rRNA from 1 species